CUCGCUGCCAAAUUUUUCAGUUUAUGAAUUUAAAAGAACUUCGGAUACUGAAAGCAUAUUAAGAGAAGAUGUUAUCACAAAUUUGGAAGCAAUACUUCAAGCCUUCAAGAGUUCCACCGAGGGCAUCAAUUUCUCAAGCACACCGAACAAAGUAAAAUUGAAAUAGAGUGCAAAAGGAAAUUUCACUAUCAAGAAAUGUUACUUUUUCUAAAGAAUGAUGGUAUUUGGACA
rnacentral:lncRNA from 1 species